UUCCCUUUCAAGUUGUUCCCUGGGAAUGAAGGGACUCCUAUGACAAUAGGAUAUGAAAUUUGGGGGCCUGCGUCGGUCCUAAAUAAUAACCGGUGGAACUUGUUUUCCUUUUGCUAUGUCACUCUGGGCCAAGAUAUCUACUACCCAAGACAAGGCACUGGUACAAUACUCCAUCUAUUAAGAGUUCUUGUCAGGAUGGGGAUCCACCAGGAAUCAUAUAUCUUGUCUGUCACUGGAAGAAUUGUCCUAGUGAGGAACUUUUUCAAGUUUGGAGCUCAUAGAGAAGGUCAAAAUCAGAGGUUUUCCACUUGCUCUAAAUAGGUCAGUAAUCAAUUGUACUUAACUAAAAAUGUUCUGCGUGCUAACAAGAACAGUUUGAGUCUUCCAGUCCACAAAAAUGAUAUAAAAUCAUUGUCUCACAAUACUCCGAUACACGCAUGCCUAUAUAUUUGUCUACAUUUUCUCACAACCAUCUAAGAAACUUAGAAAUGAAGGCAAUGGAAAAUUAAUCAUAAAAAUAACAAAUAUUCUUGGAUAUGGCAGUUCCAUGAUAAUAUAGGAAUUAUUUUAAACCCCAAAACUAUUGUCAAUUAGACAAUUUGACACCAACAUUUCAUUCAAAAACUUCUAUAAGUAACUUUUUAUUAAAGUUUUUCCAAGUAACUGCAAACAUUACAUCAAACCUUCAUAUACGUAUAACGAAAUGAAUCAGUUGUAAAAAUGUUAUACUUUCCCUCUUUUCUGAAAAAACAAAUAGCUAAAGCUAAGUCAGGAUGUGGGAGGUUAUAGUAAGAAAUUGCUCCUAUGGAAAACAUAUACUUGUUAGGCUGCUUAUAUACUGCAAAAAAGUUUUUCUUUUUAAUAGUAAACGUGAUAGGGGGCUAAGAAAUACUGGAUUUGAGAUGGAGCAGCUUAGAUAUCACCCUACCAGUCAGAAGAAAAAAUUCAAAAUUGGUCCAUUUACAUCAAUUUUACAAAUUAGUGGAGACUGUCAAUGCAAA